GGCCAGGGCACGUGGAGCCUGGGACGUGCGGCCCCGGACUCAGACACCAAUGGGCAAAAUCACCAUCUGGAUGUGGUUUCUGGAGCGCCUGGGUCACAGGCUGGGAGGAGGGUCUGGGAGCCGCAGAGCGACAGCCAGCGAGACCCCUCUCCUCCCCAGAGGGAUUUCUGGCUGGGACGUGAAGGGACAAAAGGGGACAGAGGGAAAGGCGGAGAGGUAGGGGGACACCGCUGGACAGCGCAGGGGAGAGGAGGCCCCACGAGGAGCCAGGGCUGGAAGUCUGGUGUACGGAAGGGCUGGGCCCCCCACGCGGCCGCCCCCACGUGGCCCCCGCAGCCGUGACACGCACGUCUGACCCCUGCGCUUGGGUCAGCAGCCCACGUGAAGCUCCACCAGCCGCCAGAGCCUCAGGUCUCAGAUGAGUCCUCGCAGGUGGCCUCGCCCAGCCCCCUCCCCGGACACACAGGCACACAGGGACCCAAGAAGGCAUCCCCGGGACCCCGGCCAGCAACACGGAGCCCAGAGCCAGACCCAGGUGGCCCCCGUGGCCCCCAGGUGACUUGGGACCAGCUCUUCCUUCCUCGGUUUCCUGAUCUGUGCACCGUGGGCCAGGAUGGGCGCCCGGGGGCCCGUGAGGCCGCGUGUGAGACACCAGGCCUGCGGGCCUCUCCUCCUCGGACAGGCUGCCUUCUGGUCAGCUCACCCUUGGCCCAGCUGGCAUCCAGACUCCAUCAGCUGCCCCAGCACACCCCAGGCCGGCCCACCCGCUGCCCUCUGCCCUGCCCCGCCCGCUCCUGGCUUUGGCUGCUGGCUGCGGGGCUGCGUCUCGGGGCCAAGGAGCCUUGGAGGAGCCCUGGCCCGCUCUGUUGCCCUCUCACUGCUGGGGAGAGAGGAGCCAACGAGCGGCAGAGUGGCCAGCACAGCGAUGGCCCCGCGGGUAUCCAGACACGAGAACGCAACGGUCGCGGACAUGGACCGAGCACCGCCGACCUGCACGCGGGCCUCAGGUGCCGCCGUCCGUCCCUCGGCUCUCCAGUUUCUCCGUGGAGACCCCGCCCCGCGAGGCCGGGCGUCCGACCGCUGUCUCUGCCCGCGCAGGCGCGCUUGCUCAGAUAAGGGGGCGGGGUUGUAGCCCUCGAGGGGUGGAAAGUGAGUCAGAGCCCCUAGCUCCGUUCGUGAACCCAGUUAAAGUCCAGGUGAGUCCAUGGUGUAGAUAUAACCAAGGAAACUCCUGCGGGAGCACAGGGGCCAUGGUGGAGGCGGAAGCCUGGCCGGUGGGGAGGGCUCUGGGUGAAGAGAGAAGCAGACACUGCUCAGGACCACGCGGCACAGUAUGCAGGCCCGGAGAGUGUCAGAACGCCAAUGACAACUGCAGCUGACCUUUCCAGAACAACCGGAUCUGGCCUUUGACCUCCAGCCACCGCACGCUCCGCCACCUGGAGGCCUGGACCAAUGAGUCCUGAAUCCUGCCGCGUCGAGUGAGAGGUCAGAGAGAGGCAAGGUCCCCCAGUUCAGCCCCACCUCACCCUGCCUCUGCCUGGAUGCCAGCCAGGACGACUGCCAACAUCCACCUGAGUCACCGCUCAGGGCAGGUGUGGCCUCCCGGUGGCCCGUCCGGACACAGUCACUGAGCUGAUGAGCCUGGAACCAGAAGUGCAGCCCCGCCCUGGCUCCCUCUGCUUGCGGGCUGCUGUCGGUGCGGUCCCCGGAGGUCGAACCGGGCGCCCGGUGUUUUAUCUGGCGACCCCUCCCCCAGACUGGAGCCGCAGCCCCUGCGCCCGCCCCUGGGUUCUCGGGCGUCCUCGGGCGUCCUCGGCCUCCGCCCGCCAGCCAGCCGGGCCUCUGCCAAGCGCCGGGCAGCGCUGCCCUCUAGCGGACGGACCCCGGGAGGGCGGGGGCAGGCCGGAAGGCGGGGCCAGGGCCAGGGGGAGGAGCUCCGAGAGGCCACGCCCCCGCGGGAAAGCCGACACCCGGGGAUCAACCCGAGCGGCCCGCCCGCGCCGCGCCCGCCGCGCUGCCCAGUCACCCCCUCCCCCACCGCCCGGGCUGCAAGCAGGGUGGGCUCUGGCUGGUGGCCGCCCUGGUGGCCCGCCCGGAGGCCCCCAGACGGUGCUUGGCGGGUGGGUUGCCGGCACUCGCGGCUCUGUCGGGACGAGACUGCGGAGGGGCCUUUCCGUGCUCUUUUAUGAUCCUGCGCUCCGAUGCGCGUGCACGGCUUCCCGUGUGUGGCGGGACAGAGCUCAGUCUGGGAAGGUGGGGAGUCACGGAGGGGACGGCUGCCCGACAGCGUGAAUGCGCCAGACGCCUCCCAACCGUGCCCUUAACAACAGUUAAGAGGACAAGUCCUACGUUCUGUGUAUCUUGAACCAGGAACAGUCAUAAUUAAAAAGGCAGUGGGUUUGGGGUACCGGGGUGGUUCAGUCGGUCGAGCAUCCGUCUGUUGGAUUCCGCUCGGGUCAUGAUCUCGCGGGGGGGGGGAGGGGUGGGUUCCAGCCCCGCGUUGGGCUCUGGGCUGACAGUGUGGGGCCUCCUUGGGAUCCUCUCCUUCUCCCUCCCUCUGCCCCCGUCCCCCUCCUUCUCACGUGUGCCCUCUCGGUCUCUCAAAAUAAAUAAUAGAUGAGCGAAAAAUAAAGAAAAAGUAAAACAAAGAAACCAAAAAGGCAGCGGGUCACCCCCCGGCCGCGGGGGCCCUUCCUUCCCCACUCCCAUCCCAACGCGACCAGCUCAAAGUCUGCCUGUGUGUUUGGCUUGAGACAUGGUUUUGGGAGUCCUGGGAUCCUGCUGGUGGGGGGGGGCGGGGGCUGCAGGGGAGGAAAUGUAAGUGAAAGUGGGGGUACAGUCUCCUUUACAAGGACUGCCGCACCUCGUGUCUGCCCCGAACAGGUUGUAACAUCGACACCAUUUCCUCAUUGAACAGUGACUCAGAGAACAUCUGCCCCCCCACAGCGGCCAAAGGUUGCUGUCCCCCAGGAGGCAGCCCGGGACAGCCUCGGGAUCAGAACUGGUUGGGAGGCCAGAGGUCAGUGGCUAGGGGCCAGAGGUUGGGAAAUGAGACGGAGGCACAGAGACAGAGAGAGACAGGGCGUCCUGGCCAGGUCUCCUGACUGGUGCCUCGCCUCCUAGAUUCCCUUAGAUGUCCUCUAGGCCUGCAGUCUGGAGCCCCCUCCUCCAGGGGGCCCUCUGGAACUUGGCCACCAGGUGCACCUCUCCUGCGCACGCGUCUGUCUUAGCCACCAGGCAAGUAGGUCGUCCACGGCAAGUGCAGGGCCGGGUGGAAUUCACACGUGCGUCCCGAGCACCUGCUCGUGGCUUCUUAGUGACGGCCGGCACGGAGUUCCAAGCACAACAGGAGAUUACCAAGUAGGUGCUGCUGGGGAGUUGGAGCACGAGGUGAGGCGGGAGCACGAGUACCGGGGCGAAAGUUAAUCAUUAAGGAAUGGGGCACAGAUUCAGCCAGAAGUCCACUCACCCAGCCUUGACGCAGGAAGGAGAAAGGUCAGACAACCCUAAACACCCACCAGGAGGCAACGGGUUACGUAAAUCAGGGUGGCUUCAGGCAACAGAACAUUGCGUCACCCUGGAAAUGGCGCGGGGGCCCUGGGCUCUCAGACCCGAGCUUGGUCCGUUCUAACGGAGAAGCGUGUGCCCCAGGGUCCCGGAGGAGGUCUGCCCCAGGACCCAGGGGCCGCGGAGGUGCCCCUCGGGAAGUCCAAGGCGCUGAGGAAAACCAGUCUUUCUGGGGCCCAAGGGAAGCCUGUCUUUACCACGACGGUUAGACCAUCUCUGUGAUGUAGCAUCAGAACGAACACACAGCAUUUCGGACUUCACUGCCAACUGCGGGUCCCCGAGAAUGGGACUGAGGACUCUGGUUCUACUGAGAGAAGCAGAGGUGCUCGAGGAUCUCGAGGGGAGAUCGCCCCGGAUCACCUGGACGGGCCCUGCUCCCAGCCGCUGCCCUUGCAAGAGGAGAGGACACCGCGGGGAUCGGGCUGGGGCCCGGAUAACUCCUGCCCCUGGCCCCCAUGCCCUGCAGACAGAGAUGGCCCGCGCCUGGGGAGGUGGCCCUGAGCUCCUGCCAGUAUCCAAACUAUCCUGCCCCGCCCCCGCC